ensembl:lncRNA
CUCGUGGGAUGGACUGUGUUUUAUGAUGUUGUUUGUGGCUGUUUUGUUCCAGUGAACAGGCUGUGAGAAAGCUACUGAAGGAUCGUGAGCUUGGCUGCUGAAGAUCAGUUUGAGCGAGAAGCAGUGGAAACCGGUCAAAGCCGAGUUUGACCAGGUGUCUGCUGUACACUCAAACACCAAAGCCGAGCUGGACAGUCUAGAGCGCCAAACCUUUCUGGAGGAGCCGAAGAACACGACAAUUGAAAACUUAAAAGCAAAACUAAGUGACAUGCACACUGAACACAGAAACCUCUCUGCUGAUUUUGAGGAGAACAAGAAACACUAUCAGGAAUGUUUGAAUUCUGUGAAGGGGUUUGUCAAACACUAUGGCGUUCAAACAUGGGACAGCCACAGUAGUGAUGGGUAAUGUGCACAGGGAUAUAGCUUCCUGUGAACAGAGGAAGUCUCAUCACGCACAGAUUCACUCAGCACUGUUCACUCAACGCCAGGCUGUCAUGAAGGACACAGAGCUUUCUUUGUUGCAGAAGAGGAUGCACAAAGCCAUGCUAAAAUACUUCAAACACCGCAGCGUCUACAGCAAGGCAGAGCUGGCCCGCUUCCAGACCCUCUCCAACCAGAACAACCAGAAAAUGAAAGCCCUCCAGGAGGAGUUGUCAAACGCAAUCCAGCGCCUCUCUCAGUUCCUGCUCUCGCUGACAGAUGACUCAACUACCAGCCAUGUCCCGCAGCAAGCAAACAGACCCAUCGCAGAUGCCGAUGGAUGGAGCAGGA